rnacentral:rRNA from 1 species
GACGAACGCUGGCGGCGUGCCUAAUACAUGCAAGUCGAACGCAGUGGGGACGGGUGAGUAACACGUGGGUAACCUCCCAUCAGAGGGGAUAACACUUGGAAACAGGUGCUAAACCGAUACUGAUGGAUGGACCCGCGGUGCAUUAGCUAGUUGGUGAGGUAACGGCUCACCAAGGCCACGAUGCAUAGCCGGCCUGAUAGGGUGAUCGGCCAACCUGGAACUGAGACACGGCCCAGACUCCUACGGGAGGCAGCAGUGGGGAAUAUUCGGCAAUGGACGCAAGUCUGACUGAGUAACGCCGCGUGUGUGAAGAAGGUUUUCGGGUCGUAAAGCUCUUUUGUUAGGGAAGCGGUAUCUACCCAGAAAGCCCCGGCUAACUACGUGCCAGCCGCCGCGGUAAUAC